UUCUUUGUCAGCUGGUAUAUGUCGAAUUCCUGAAUUGUGUAUGUGGAUAAUUGUGAGAUGUUGGCGGCGAAUGACUGUGAUACAGUAUAGCCAUGCUGCAGCUCCAGUAUCAGGGCGUGUGUUCUGCUGAAGGGAAAGAGUUCAUUGAGGCCAAGCAGGAGCGUACAGAUUGGAAGCUGCUCAGCUGUAGCUGAGUAGUACAUCUCGAUGGUCGAUAGGACUAUUUCAAUGCGACAGAUCCUGUAGCGAGAGAUGGCAGAGUGCCUGGGUCAUAAC